CCCACUGCGCCUGCGCACUCCUAACCCCGCGCUCAACCCCGUGACCCGAGUGAGAGAGGACUUGUUGGAGGGAAGGGCCGGGGAGGGCGCGUCGCUGCGCGCCCGGGGUCGGGGGGCCGCCUGGACCGCGCAGGCGCGCUGGGGACCAAAGGGAGUGCCUGCUGGCCCAUCCUAGUAGUUCAGAGCUACUUUGCCUUCAGGACUGAAAUCUAGGUAACAACAUGUUUAAAUCAAGAUUAUGUGAAGCACCCUUCAAAGGAGAUUUAACAGUGUGCCCUAUCACUUAUCAGCUCUAUCUUAUCUAGGAUCUAUUUCUAGGCUAUUCAUCCUGUCCAUUUCUCUGCCUAUUUCUGUGACUGCUGUUACUGUCACAGUCUUUUCAUUUUUCAACUGACUCAAGCUCUGGAUAGGUAACGCAAAAGGGGCCACCUGUGAAAUACUGCUAAUGACAGCCUCUUCAAUUUACCAUUAAGAGGGCAACAUAAGCUGCAUUUUCAGAAGGUCUUAUGAUCAACAGGAACUUGAUGACAUAUAAAACAUAUGAACAGAUGAAAAUAUAUGGACCCUUCUAAAGAAUGCUCACAGUAGCUUCAAUCAUUAUGAUCUCAAAAUUGAAACAAUGCAAAUAUCAUUCAACAAUGAAAGAAGCCAGACACAAAAGACUACAUAUUGUAUGAUCCUGUUUAUAUUAAGCUCAAGAACAUAUGAAUUAAGCUAUGAUGAUAAGAGUUGCAGGAGAGGCUGGCUACCUCUCGGGGAAGAGGAACUGACUGGAAAAUGUCAUAAGGAAAUCUUCUAAGGUGAUGGAAUAUUGCAAAGCUUGGUCUGGGUGAUGGCUACAUGGCUGGAUACAUAUGUGAAAUUAAUUGUGCUAUACAAUUAAGGAACAAAGGAAGUUAGUGUGAAGUGGAAUUACUGGGUCACAGAGGUAUGUAUUUUUGUUUGUUUCAAUAAAUACCACUGAAUUGGCCUCAGAACUGUCUGUACCAAUUUCAGUUCCCCUUCCUUCACACUAUCACUAACACUUGAUAUUGUCAGGUUUUAAAAUUUUUAUCAAUCUGAUAGGUAAAGAAUGGACUGUAAUUUGCAAUGCCCUGAUUAUUAGUGAGGUUUAGCAUCUUUUCCUAGUCAUUUGUGUUUUUAUUUCUGUAAAUGACUUGUUUAUAUCUCUUAUCUAUUUUGCUCUCAUGUGUUUUAACUUUAUUGAUUUGUAGAAAUACUUUGUAUAAUUUGGAUAUUGAUCCAUGUUGUAUUUACAUAUGAUACAAAUAUCUUUUUCCAAAUUUGUCACUUCUCUUUGAACUUUGUUCAUGGUAUUUUGUAAGAGAUUUAUUUAAAUUUUGAUAUUGUCAAAUUUAUUGGCAAGGUUGUGGGCAUAUUCUUCUAAAUUUUCUUUACUAGCACUUAAAUAAAGUAUCAGGGUUACUAGCUUUGAUGGGUAAUUUUAUUUGUGAACUUGACUGUGCCAUGACAUGCCCAGAUAGCUGGUUAAACAUUAUCUCUGGGUGUGUCUGUGAGGGUGUUUUUGGAAGAGAUUAGCAGUUGAAUUGGUGAACUGAGUAAAGCAGAAAGCCCUUCCCAAUAUGGGUGGGCAUCAUCCAAUCCACUAUGAGCCUGAAUAGCACAAAAAUGUGGAAGAAGAUUCAAUUAACUGGGCUUGACUGCUUGGGCUGCAACAUCGAUCUCUCUUGCCAUUGGUGCUCCUGUUUCCAGGUCUUCAGACCCGGAUUGGAGUCUACACCAUUAGCUCUCUGACUCUCAAGUCUUUGAGCUACAUCACCAGCUUUCCUGGGCCUCCAGCUUGCAGACAGCAGAUAGUGGGGCUUCUCAGCAUCCAUAAUUGCAUGAGCCAAUAUAUUGUAAUUAACCUCUCUCUCUCUCUCUCUUUAUAUAUAUAUAUAUAUAUAUAUAUACUCACACACACACACAAAAAACAGAAAAUUAUAAUAUAUAAAACAAAAUUUUAAUAUAUAUAAUUUUAUAUGUUAUAUAUAUAACAACAGUAUAUAUAAAUAUAAUAUAUAAUAUAUAUAAUUUAUAUAUAAAUAUUGGAAGAUUUAUCAGGGAAGAGAUUCAUUCUUUGGAGAAUAAAUGAAGAGGUUUACAUAUACAAAUUAUAUAUUUUGUAGACAGACUUUUUUAACAUACUGAUAAAAUUAACAUAUUUCGGUAUAACCAUUCUAUACCAAGACUGUGCUAAAGGUCGCAAGAUUUACAUACAGGGGCAAGGUGUAAUGUCAUGGGAGUUUAAGAGAGAGAUUUGAUCUCUCUGCUGUUGGUGGUGGCAAUGGUGUAUUUGGGGAAGAGCAGGAUUACAGAGGGUCUAGUGGUAUUUAAGAUAUUUCUUGAUUUUAUGCAAGAUUACAAGUGGCCACAAAUUAUCUGACACUGUUCCCAUUGAAUGUGGACUGGCCUGUGACUGCUUUCAUAAGCAGAGACUGCCACUAGUGACACCCAGCCACGUCUGGACCAACCUUUUCAGAGGACUACAGGCAGCUUCCGCUUUGGUUUCUGGGCACCCUCAGUCGCCAUGACGACCUUGGGUUAGCAAGAGAGGAGCCAAGGUGAGCCCAGCCCUCCCGCUGCUCUUGCCAAGGCACUAGGACAUAAGUAAAGCCAUCUUGGAGCUUCCAGAUAUGUUUAGCAACCUUGAACAUCACCCAGCAUCCCUUUUGAUCCCAUGUGCCUGAACUCCUGAUCCGUAUAACCACAGACUUCUCACAGAGCAAACACAAACCCUAACGGAAUCAUCUAGAAAUAAAUUCCAAUGUCUGCCCUUGAAACAAUUAGGUGUUUUUGGUACUGUCAGUCUAGUGCAAAGUAUGAGCACUGUGGCUUGAUUCAGUGUGGGAUCUGCAUUGUAAGUAUCAGGACAGGAGAGGAUGGGGGAUCAGCAGGCACCAUUUUCUUAUUUUACACUUGACAAACUGUGCCUGAGAGAGACUGAGUGACCUGGCUAAGGACUCAUAGGGAUUAGUGGCAGAACCUAGAACAGACUUUGGAUUCCUGACCCUUCUGGAGCUUUUUGCUGUACUGCAUUGCCAGCCCCAAGCACGUGUGUGGCCACGUGUGCACAGACCCACUGGGCGCAAAAAGAUUAUUUGGUCUUAAAAUUGUAUAACUCAUUAAUUUAAAAACUAUGUUACAAGCUGAUUUCUAGGACCAAACAAUCAUUUUAACCACCAGUGUAUACAGUAGUAUGCUAGCAAAUGUUUAACACCUGCUUCUCUGAAGACAAAAGAAGUCCUAAUUUGUAGGAUUUGCUAAAUGCUAUGGUGUAGGUGAUCCCACUGUGACCAAAUUCAAGCUACCAUUGCAAGGUUACCUGACAUGAACUUGGGAGUUGGGUAGAGACGUACAGGGGCGAGCUGGCCCAGCACGCCAAGGAGGACACCACUUCAGAAAAAGUCAACAUAAACACGCCUGUCUUAAUUUGAAAGAGACACAUCUGAAGUGAUUACUCACAAAAGACUCUUUAAAAAAUGAGUCACUGUAUUGCUUCUUUGAAGAGCUGGAACUUUUAAGUACAUUUAAAUAUUAUUGGGAGAACAAUAUUUCAAUUUACUUAUAGCAUAUAAGUAAUGAAUCACUGCCAAAAACAUUGAUAGCCCUUGUGGACAAUACUCACCAAAUAUUCCCCAUGCUCCUCACGUUUCCCAGACUCCCUUGCCAUUGGGUCAGACCCAUGUGACAAGUUUAGACCAAUGGCUUAUGAAUUGAUGUGUGUAACCUCUGGACCAAGGUAGUCAAGGGCUGUGACUUCUCUGUCCUGCACAAAGCCUGGAGGCCAGAGGCUGAAGUGGCGGCAUCACAGAAUGAAGGGAGCCUGAAUUCUUGAAUCAAUAAAUGGAAGACAACACUGCUGACCCUCUUCAGACUUUGCAAGAACAAGAAAAAAUUUUAUGUGUCUAAAGCCAUUGAGAUUUGGGGGUUUGUUACGACACCACAGCAAGGAUUAUCUUGACUAAUAAAGUUAUAAAAUCAACUUGAAAGCUAACUUCCUUUUCAAGGUACUUUUCAUAUAUUUGAACUGGUGGAAACAAGACGACGACAUGACUUAGAAACAGAAGAAUGAAAAUGAGAUAAAAAUGAGCCUCCAGUUUCCUAUUAACCAGCAACUGUUUCUGAUGCUUUUUAAUAUGGGAAUAAGGCUCACAGACUAUUAGGAAGCCUUUUAUAUAUAA